rnacentral:rRNA from 1 species
AAUAUAUUUUAUUUUUAAUGUUGGUUUACUUUUCUUUUGGAAGUUAGAAGUUCUGGGUAGGUGAAAUUUUCUGGUUGGUUUAUUCUCUUUGUAAACCUUUGAAACUUUUGGUAAAAACUUGGAUUUGAUACCCUUUUUGUAAAAUAUUUUAAAUUUGGUAGUAGUGAUACAUCCGAAACCGUAAGAACUUGGCGGUGUUUUAAAUGAUUGGAGGAACCUGUCAUAUAAUUGAAAGUCCACAACAUAUCUUUCGUAAUUUUUGUUUGUAUACCGUUGUUUAGGCAAUAUGUAAAAGUAUAGUCGGGGGUAAUUAAAUUCCAAAAAGCAAACCAAGGUGCAGCAUAAGUAGGUAAUGAUGGGGUACAAUACAUUGUAUGUAUUACGGAGAGAUGAAAAAUAUCCAGAAGGAGGAUUUGAAAGUAUGUUAAA